rnacentral:rRNA from 1 species
AGCACCUGAGAUGAAGUAGGAGGACCC